CUCUGUUCUCUCGUGGACCCUGGCUGCCAGUGCCUUGGUCAUCAGUAAUGCAGGGAGAGGAAGUGCUGAAGGCCAUUUCCUAUGUUUGGAGGGUCCACUCCUAUCCCUUUCAAAUGCUGGUGCUUUCACACA